AUGUUCUAAAGAAAGACCAUGUUCCUGAACGGAUGCAAAGAGUAAGAUGGCUUUUGUACUAAGGAAGAUUUUCAAAUGGACUGUUUAGACAACCGGAGCCGCCAACAAACUGCACGGUGCAGAACCGGACGAACGACCUGUUGAACGUGGAGUGCAGCCCCGGCUGGGACGGCGGUCUGCCCCAGUUCUUCGUCAUGGAGGUUGUCACGCACGGGACUCCCGAGAGACAGCUCAUGGUCAACAUGACCUCCUCCUCGCCCGUCUUCUCCACCUCCAGCUUGCUCCCCUCCUUCUCCUACGAUGUCGUCCUCUACGCUGCCAACAGUAAGGGACACAGCGAGCCCAGAGUCCUCAGGAUAGAAGCCAGCAAAGCUCAGAGCACCCAGAGGCGAACAGCUCUUUUAGCGGGUGAGCUGGAGUUAGGCCCCGUCAUAGGAAUUUUAGUAGGCAGUCUAGUAACUCUAAUAUUCUUAGUUUGCAUAACAACGGUAUUGGUGCGACGACGCCACUUGAGAAACACUCAAAAAUGACGGAUUCGUCAACGAAAGAAGACUUGAACGACAGCGCAGAUAGUCUAGAUAAGAAUCCCGACAUCAUUCCUCACGAAGGUGAUUGUUUGGAUGAGGACGAGAAAGCCUUUGAGAUGUACAGGAAGAGGAGGUCGUAUCCUUCUCAUAUAGGAUCAAAUAACUGUGAUACAAUAAGUAAAAAUGACAAGAUGCACGCGGAACUCUCGCUGACGAGUCCGUUGUACUCGACGCUACUGGCACAGCAACACAUGUUGAGGCCACCGGUGGAACCGAACCCUCCUUGUCCGGCCGACACGACGGCCACCACUCCUCUCAUCGAAGCCCACCAAAGAGAGAGCAUGGUCAGAAAAGUGGAGUUCUGCGAUGAAGUUCACUGUCAAACUUUGAAACCUUACCCUAAACAAACUGUGACGGCCACGAGGUUUUGACAACCUGAGAACCCUGAAGGUUAUGUUGUUACGUUUUGUUAGUGCAUAGAAUACUUUUAAGGUGUAAAAGUUUCAACUCGCUCAAUACAUUUUUAUUUUUGACUUAUAUUUUUUAUCGUUGUUCUCCAGGUUAAAUUCAGUAUUUCGUGUUGUACAAUUCAAAAGAUAAAAUGCGCAAUUAAGUAGCUUGUACAGUUUUUGUCUCUCAGAUGCUGUUUUAAAAUGUGAUAUACUCAGACACUGUAUAAAAUUCAGGAUUUCUACCGAGUAACAAAAACGAAUAAACCCACAAAUGAUUUAUCACACAAAGUUACCCGUAGCCCUAAGUUUACAUGCUAAAUGUGAGCAAACUAUCUGAAUCAGUCAUAAAAAGACGAAGUUCCAUUUCAAAUUUGCAGAGCCUUCGGUUCAAUGCUGAUUCAGUUUCAUCAUGGUAAAGAUCAAAACUCUCCCUAAAUUUCAGGCAAAUACUGCGUGAGCUGAAAUGAUCUCAACGAGUUCUAAUCACAUACUUAAUGAGAGCUUGUGCUGUAAAACUCUCUACAAAUUUGAAAGAAAAUUCAUAAAUGCGUAAACACUCGACUUAGAAUCUGGUAUUAGAGCGAAAGAAGUAGACUUCGUUUGGAUGAAUUUGUGCAGUACCUUGCAUUGAAAUGCAGCACUUAGACCAAACUUUUGCCCAAAAAUUUGCGGAAAUUUUUAGAAUGAACCAUAGGUGUAGUAUUUUAAUUUUAUUUCUGACGUCCCAAAUUUUCACUCAAAAUUUCAAUUGUUUAUUCUUUCGCCCAGCAAUCUAGAAUAAAUUUUACUCACAUUGUCAUAUUCUGCAUUCAGCUUGAGAUGUUUGAUUACUUUUUCUAAUCAAAGACUGACAAGUUUGGGAGAAAUAUCACAACUGUAUAACAGUUGACCGUGCUUUUUGCGUGACACGUAGGCGACCAUAGUGAGCCUUUAAUUCAGUCUUGAAUCCGGUCUAUUCCGUGAGAUAUCGUCGAACCCUCGAAUCAGAAUUGUUAAUUUUCCCCCGAUUAAUAUAGAUCAUAGAUAAAAUAUAGUACUAUGAUGCUUAUGAUUCUUGUGAAUUUUUGUGGCGAAAUGUUUCAGCGAUAUUUUAUUCUAUUUAUACUGUAUAAAGGUAAUAAGGUGUAUGUUAACAUCGAGGUUUAUUCUUUUCGAAAAAGUUUGUUCAUAUUCCGUUCUAGGAAGCUUUAAGAGAUCCGUUUGGAAGGAAAUCAAAAGAGGAACCAAGUCGUGAAGACGUCGUCGAUGCAGCCAAAGGGAAGUCUUUAAUCUCUUAAAAAUAAUCAGUGUUUGGUUCCAAAGCAUUCAAUUUUAUAAAAAAUCCUAAGUAUUUUGCAUCGUACUCAGAUUCAAUCGGAUUUCGAGAGACUUUUGAAUGAAGGAAUUCUAAGUUUUGAUAGCAUUGUAACACUGAGGUAAAUAUUUCACAAGAGCAUGGUACAAUGGUAUAUACAAUCGGGCCUUGGAUUGCCUUUAUCCAAAAAGUAUAUGCGGGUCCGCUUGCUGUAUUUUUUUUCUAUGAGUAAAGAAGAACCUAUAAUAUUGCAUAUAAAUGAUGAUUUUCCCGGUCACAUGUUUGAACACUAGUGUUCUUUCAACAAUAAGUAUCUACUUCUCAUACUGAUUCAAUUGAAAUAGUAUCAAUACGCAAACGGUAAGAAAGUUAGGUUCCGAGUAAGUCUGAGCUUACAGAUAUUUCUCCAAGCCACGAAGAGUGUGAUUUUGUCCCCUCCUAUGUAGAGAUUGUAAAUAUUUGUACCUUUGCACUGUAAAAUGUAAAAAAUUUAAUUUAUAAAAAAAGAAAAUAAAAUAAAUUUAUGUAAGUAAAACUUAAUUAGUGUUUUAUUUCUCAAGAGAUACUGAUCUGUGUCUGUAGAAACUGCUCCCAAAAAUUACGACCAAUUUUUAAAAAUUAACAACCAACCUUUUCAUCCUGAUAUAAGAUUCCUUUACCUUCAUUUUUCUUCCGUGCAAUUUUUAAGUACUCCGCAAAAUUCAGUAUGUAGAGG
rnacentral:lncRNA from 1 species